GGUUUUUGCAGUGUUCUGCUAGCUUAAGGUCCAGCUGCUUUAUUUCACAGGGAGAGAAAAAAAGAAAGCUAACUUCACUCAGAGAUGGAGAAAGCUGUAGGAAAGACAGGAGAGGAGGAAGAGACUUAAAGAAGCGAAUAAACAAGGAAAACAAGAAUGGCUGGAAAGAGUGAAAAGAGAAUUUCAAAAUGGCCCACUUGCAUCAAAUGUUGUGUUUGCCCUUAUUUUGACGGUCUUGGAAAGGUUGGUGGAGACAGAGUUUGAGUGCCCCUGUAAAGGGACAUACUUGAAUGGUGGUUUUGUGGCUACAUUUUUCAUCAUUCCUGGAAUCUUGGCCUUUGUGCUGAUGGCUUCAAUGCAAGAACUGAAGUGCUCACGUGACACAGACAAUGCAAAGCGAUUCUUUCACUGCUGCGUCCCUGCAUUUGUGUGGAUGAUCUUGAUGCUCUUUGAUGGCAGCUACUUUUCAUGUGGAAUGACUGACUGGUCAGGCAGGUAUGUAACUGCUGACAAAGCUGCCCCACUGAAGUGGUGUGAACCAGAAAAUGGUACCUCAUAUCACGAUAGACUGAACAAAUCUCAGGACUGGUACUUUCUCUCUCAGUGGGCUGGGCUUGCCUUGGUCUUGGCUUUGGUCUUCCUGAUCAUAAAAUGCAUCAUAAAUACAUCUCUUGAACAAGAGCAAUCCAGUCCUCCUUCAGAAAGUGACUCUGGUCCAUGUGUUCCCCCAGAUCAAGCCUUUGGCUCAGGCUCAGCUGUCGCACUCCGACCUCUCCAUACCAACACUCCUGACACCAACGUCACUGAUAUGUGAAGAAGCAAAGUGUGACUGAGGAGCUGCAGUCCAUCCCAGCUGUCACAGAACGAGAGGCAGGAUAUAACCUGGAUCGGUCGCCAAUCUGAAUUCUAGUAGUGUAACAUAUAUCUUUAUAAUUGGCCACCUUCUCUGUGAAUUUUUUUUUUCUUGUCAGGGUUUGUGGAAUUUCUUGCCUUCUUGAUGUGGUUGGGACCAUCAGUUGUGUUGUGCAGAACUCAGGUUGGUACACAACUGACAGCCCUAUUUGACAACUGUUCAUAUUAUGGUAAGAACCAAUCAGUUAGGGAAAUUAGAGCAAUCUUAACCCUAUAACGCCCUUUGUAUCAUAUUUGACACAUGAGUUUAUGAGACCUGUAUCUCAUCAGCAUGAUCAAUACUUGCCAUAAUUUCAAAAUGUUAUGGACAAAGCUUUUUUUUGUCUAAAAUUAACAAUUUUAUAAACAAAAAGUUACCAAAAACACCCAAUGUAUCAAAUAUGAUACAAAACAUAUAUAAUAAAUAUAUAAUAAAUAUAUAUCAUAUGCAACACGAUGCAGCAAAAAAAGGGGGGAUUUUGUUAUAAGGGUUAAUAAACAUCUCACUUGCAAAAAAAUCUGAAUUUUCUGGCUAUUUUUUGAUGGGUUGGUUCUUACAGGGUUAAGAACUGAAGGUCAGUCAGUCUGGAAAAUUUCUAAAACUUUGAAUGCAUCCCCAAGUGCAGUCGCAAAAACCAUCGAGCGCUACGAUGAAACUGGCUCACAUGAGGACCGCCCAGGAAAGGAAAACCAAGUCAUCUCUGCUGCUGAGGAUGAAUUCAUCUGAGUCACCAGCCUCAGAAAUUGUAGAGAAAUUCCACACAGAGUUCCAGUAGCUGACACGUCUCUACUAAUAACAUUAAAUCUGUACUUUGGUCUGAUGAGUCCAAUUUGAGAUCUUUGAUCCACCUGCCGUGUCUUUGUGCAACGCAGAAAAGGUGAACGGGUGGUCUCUACAUGCAUGGUUCCCACUAUGAAGCAUAAAGGAGGAGGUGUGGGGGUGUUUUCCCACUGACACUGUUGGGUAUUUAUUCAAAAUUGAAGGCACACUCAACUAUCAUGGCUACCACAGCAUCCUGCACCGACAUGCCAUCCCACCCGGUUUGCGCUUAGUUCAACCAUCAUUUAUUUUUCAGCAGGACAAUGACCUCAAACACACCUCCAGGCUGUGUAAGGGCUAUUUGACCAAGAAGGAGAGUGAUGGAGUGCUGUGCCAGAUGUCCCUGGCCUUCACAGUCACCUGACCUAAACCCACUCGAGAUGGUUUAGGAUGAGAUGGACCGCAGAGUGAAGGCAAAACGGCCAGCAAGUGCUCAGCACUAAAAUGGCAAGAACAGUCUGGGAUUUUCUGUAUAACCAUGUAUAAACCUUACUAUUGAUAACAAUGUACCCCCUAAAAAAUCCUCAAAACUACCAUAUGUAAUUAACAAUAUUGAUUCAGUAUUAAUUUUAAACUAUUGUUUAACUAUUAUUAUACAAUACUUCAGUGAUGAAAGUGAUUACUUUGGAGAAGAUUGGAAGACAUUUGAAUUUGUGAAACUGAAAAGUCUAAAAUUCCAUGAGUGUAAAUCAGUUUUAGAAGUUUUGGUUGGAAAAACAGUGGUUGAUCAGCAACAUGUGCUGCGUGUGGUUAAACGGAAAAAAACACAUAUUUAACUGCAAAAUAUCAGCUAUAAUGUGAAGCUGGCUUAUAUUUUCCUUAUGUAGGAAAGAUUAAGCUAAAUGAGGAAAAUGAGAAGGGAAAAGCAAAAGCAGAAGAACGAUAUUUGAAUACUGUAAAAUAAAAAACAUCAGUGAUUUGAAUGAAAUAAAGAGGAGUCUAAAGCACUCAUUUCCAUGCUUCACUGUAGAUGUAAAGUGCUAGGACAACGACGGACUGAGUGAUUAACCUUUGGUCACUAAAGUCCCAAUGUGAAUCCUUGAGCUUAGUGGAUUCCCGUCACCAUCUUGGUGUUUUGAAUCCAGACUUGAGAAGAAUGCAUCAGACUGUGAAAUCAAAUGCUGAUUGAUAUGAAACUUCAAAAACAGGAAGAGGGUUGGAGUCUUAAUAUGGAUUUGAAAAUGAAACAAAACCAGUUGGUUAUGUCAGGGUUUCCAUUUGAGAGCACCUGAAACGAGUCUUGGAGCAAAUUUGGGAUGAGAACCUUGACAGGUUAUUAAAACUGUCAUGGUCCUGGAUCAGCUGACCAAGCAUUUUGUGUUUAUGAUCUUAUGUUCUAGUUUAUUCUGAUUUUGUAUUCUGGGCAAGAGUUGGGGUUUUGGUUCCCUGUGUGAUGUAUAGUUUCUGGUUCUAGUGAAACCAGUGGUUCUGGUUCUAGGUUCUAGUGUUUUAGUUGCUUUAGGUAUUUGUAGAUAAAUAGUACAAAGCCUGGUUCAGCUCGAGAACGAGGUGACAUACGACUUUGAAAAGGCUGCCAGGACUGGGCUAAUAGCCAGCACUGCAAACUGGCUUCACUUUUUAGCUGUGCCCACAUUCCAGAUUCCAGUUUGUAUUUAGGAGACAAAAACACUCUACUUUUAUGAUUAGGUUUCAAACUUUCUUUUUUUAAGAUUAGGUCACUUGAUCCAGCUCUAUAGUUAGAGUUGGAUCCAGUGACCCUGAACCACAGAUUAGAUCCCGUGGUUCUCCCUGCAUGUGAUGGUUUCAGGUUUGUUCACUAGUUUUCCCAGUUCAGGUUAUUUCUUAGGUUCGUCCUCGCUUUUGUUUGUUUUCACCUCCUGUUAAUAAAGCUCACUCACAGCCAGUGCCUGCAUCUUUGGUCCUUCUUCAUAACUCUGCACGGCUUGCUUUGCAAACCAUGACAGAAACUGUAUUUCAUCUUUCUUAGAACUUUAUUAGAACAUGUAUGAUGGUCUUUUGAUCCAAUAAUUUAAAUACAGAUGAGAAUUCAGAGAUUUCAAAAAUUAUAUUUGUCAAAUCUGAUCUUCUUUUUAAAACAGCAGUUUAUUUGUACUUUUAAUCUUUUGCCAAACAGAGGAACUGAAAUAAAUCUAAGAAGACUUUUUGUACAGUGGGGUUUUCUCUUCCCGUUCACAGUAACCUCCCAGAAUUGAUUGAUUUAUUUAAAUAAUCCAUGUGUUUAUUAUGGACUUUUAAGUGUUUCCUGCACUUGUUUUUAGUAUGUGUGGAUAAAUAGUACAAAGCCUGAUUCACAGUAGGCUGGUGUGAAACUGAACUUGUAAUAUACAGUAUGUCUAAUGAACUCUACAGUCACCAACAGGAUUACUUAUUUAUGGCUGCUGUUGUGUAUAUUCUGUGUAUUUAUUAUCUCAUUCUUAUUGCCUGUUUAUGCCCUGUCCUUAUCUUCUUAACUGCCCCUUGGGGAUAAAUAAAGUCUCUCUGACUCUGAUUCUAUUAAUGUA